UAGUCCACGCCCUAAACGAUGUCAACUAGGUGUUGGAAGGGUUAAACCUUUUAGUGCCGUAGCUAACGCGUGAAGUUGACCGCCUGGGGAGUACGGCCGCAAGGCUAAAACUCAAAGGAAUUGACGGGGACCCGCACAAGCGGUGGAUGAUGUGGAUUAAUUCGAUGCAACGCGAAAAACCUUACCUACCCUUGACAUGUCAGGAAUCCCGGAGAGAUUUGGGAGUGCUCGAAAGAGAGCCUGAACACAGGUGCUGCAUGGCUGUCGUCAGCUCGUGUCGUGAGAUGUUGGGUUAAGUCCCGCGACGAGCGCAACCCUUGUCAUUAAUUGCCAUCAUUUAGUUGGGCACUUUAAUGAGACUGCCGGUGACAAACCGGNGGAAGGUGGGGAUGACGUCAAGUCCUCAUGGCCCUUAUGGGGUAGGGGCUUCACACGGUCAUACAAUGGUCGGUCCAGAGGGGUUGCCAACCCGCGAGGGGGGAGCUAAUCUCAGAAAGCCGAUCGUAGUCCGGGAUUGGGAGUCUGC
rnacentral:rRNA from 1 species